rnacentral:ncRNA from 2 species
AGAUUUUAAGGGAAUGAGGUUCUCCCGUGGAGUAUUCCAAAAGCGCAUUUUGCUGAUGACUUCUGUGUAAAA